GCUGGGGAGAACACAGAGGGGGGGAGAGUGGGCAACCGCAAGCGCUCAAACAUUUCAGACGCGACCCGCACGCCCGAAUCAGCGCUGACCUCCCAGGACAGACCGCAGCCGGUCUGCGCCAGGAGAACGGAGAAGCGGGAAGGCUGCGGUCUGUCACGCACCUCUUCUCCUAGUCACUCCCGCUCUGGGAAAAGUGGGAGACGGUUUGGCAAAAACCUCCUGGGACCACCGUUUAGGGGUUCCAGACGAGUGCCGCAGGCAGGGGGGGGGGGUGGUCCGCCACGCGUUCCUCGGGACCCUCCAGCAGACGCUGGGGGAAGGCUCGCAGCCGCCAGGCUCUGCCAGUCCUAAGGCACCUCUGUCCCCACUCACCGGGCCCCCUCCCGAAGUUGGCUGCUGCUGUAACUCUCUGCCUGACCUCCGCAGCUACGUCUCCCUCAGGAGACCAUUUCCUACGUGCCUUUGCGCCUCUGGCCUCAGAGGCACCCGGGGUCACACGAGACAGCUGGACACAUAUUUCUCAUUUGCUGAGGAAGCAGUCUUCUGGUCUCUCUUCCAAACCCACUCCCGGACAUCUUCACCUCCACAACAAGCUACGUCUCCUCCACUCGCGGUACCCCACUCACGCUUCCCCCACUCACGCUUCCCCCACCAGGGAGACUCUUGGGCGGCCGGCUAUUCCCACAAGCAGCUCUCUCCCAGAGUUCUCCAGUUACAUUUGGAAAGAGAUUGGAUUGCACGCUAGGUUUACGUCACCUGCGCCUCAUCCUCAGAGAAGUACACUUAAGACAAGUAAAAUACCUGUUUUACGAGAGAAAAUUGAGAAAAUGGUCUGUCAGGGCCUCUGGGGCAUCCUUCAAUUGGACAACAGUAGAAUUUCGCUGGAUCGCUCACUUCUUCUUAGUGCUGAAGAAUACGCCAUCCUCUGGAGGUUCCACAGUUCAUUUCCACUCACCGACUAUUUGGAAAGGGAUCUUGAGUUCACUGUGCUGUCUUCAGACAAGAGACAUCCGAAAAGUGCCUUGAAAGUGGGAGAAUGACCUCACGCAGCAGAAGCAGCAAGGGAAGAUACGGCUGCUUUGACAAAUCCAAGUAGAGAUUUGACUAUCAAAAUCUGUAUGUGCCUCAAACAUACUCCUUAAGCCUGUUAUACUUUGUAUUUUGUAUGUUGUGUUAUACAUCACAUAUGUGUUGUUAUGUUUUGUGUAUGUACUGGUAUCUUCAGAAUUCCUAAACGUCACGUGUUUUAGAAACAUAAUUAGAAAUAAACCUGUUAUAUGCUAUCAAACUA